CAGGCUGAGGCAGCUGCUGCUGCUACUGCACCUCAGAAGGGGGAGUGGAGGGGGAGGAGGCACACACGUGCUUGGCAGCCCUCCACUCCGCUCCCCGGGCACCAGACACCGAGGGGGCUUCCAGCGGGAGACAUCUGGAGUGGACCUCCGUGACUCACCUGAGCAGCCGCUGGGGCUUCGUGAGUGCCUCUGCAUAAGAAGCAAGUGCUCUCUGGUUAUCGCAUUCUGACAUUCAUCAGCUUCUCUGAUGUUUAGAUAAUGUCAUUGUCGACCAGUGGCAGACAGCAUCCUGUCCAGCCUUCCCUGUGCUAAACUGCGGCCAGUACUAGUGCAACUAAACUGACAACAAAGGGGUGCUGAAGAAGUUCUCGCCUAAGAUGGACAAGGUCUCACUUUCACACGAGCAGACACACUAUUCUGGUUAUUCCAUUUUAUCUUAUGUCCCAACAAAUUAGUUAAAUCAAUCACAUCAUGAGUUUGUGGGAUGAAGAGAGAGAACUGACUGGAGCAAUUCACAGAGGAGAAUCAGCCAACCGUGUCUAACUAUUUCAGGACUUGGAAAUGAAGUUCAGAUGAAAAGACUUCGGUUCCAGCUGUUGUCCUUCUGUGGACCAUUUCAAAUCCCAGAAGAAAACAGCUUUACGAAAAUUCAUCUUAUGGGAGAAGUUGGAGAGAGAGAAAUACUAUAUUUUGUAUAAUAAAUUAUGAAUGGUGUGGAGAGA